UUUUUUUUUCUUUUUAGGGCCACACCCAUGGCAUAAGGAAGCUCCCAAGCUAGAGGUUGAAUUGGAGCUGAAGCUGCUGGCUUAUGCCACAGCCAGAGCAACACUAGAUCCGAGCCACAACUGUGACCUCUACCACAGCUCAUGGCAAUGCCAGAUGCUUAAUCCACAUUGAGCAAGGCCAGGAGUCAAACCAACGUCCUCAUGGAUCCUAGUUCAUUACCAGUGACUGAGCCAUGAUGGGAACUCCAUUGAAGAUGAAUUCUGACUUAAGAGCUCUGGUUUUAUUGCUCUGUUGUAAAGGAGGAGGUGUAUUUUCUAGUGGGCCAGCAUUUCCGGUGUACUGGUGGCUUAUUUGUUGAGGGAGCCACAAGGACCUCAUGGCAGUCACAAGGCCCCCCACCCUUGCUUCUCUUGUCUGAGUGCCCAUUCAUGGAAAUGCCAGGGCCAGAUCUCAAGCUCCAGCAGUAUUCACCCACCUUAUGUGUCCUAAGUGUGAACACUAGCAUCAGCAACUCCUAACACAGGGGCUGACCUGGCUGUUUACAGAGUUCUUUGAUUCAUUAUGAGCUGGUGACAUAUGCAUAGCUCCUCCUCUAUGCUGUCCGUCUCUUUCUGAGUUAUUCCAGAAUUCUGCCAGGAACAGUCACUUUUUUGUGGGUCUAUUUUUUUUUUUUUUCCCCUGUAGAUGUUUGCAAGUUCCUCAGUUUUGUUUAUGUAAUUUCAACCAACAGUUUCCAUUUGGGUUAAAACAUCCAGAAAUUCUUACUAUUUUUAUAUGUUGGUAGCUGUGCUCCUGAUUUUCCACUGCUUCUGUGGAUUUCUUUCAGUAUUUUUCCUGUCUUUGCAGUGGAACAUUCUUCAGCUGUAUAGGUAAGCAUGUGUUUUCAGUUAGCCAUCAGAACCAGAAACACCUUUUCCAAAUAUUUACAAUUUUGUAGAAUAUGCUGAAAGGAAAGUAAAUCAAGUCACAAUUCCAUUUUUUUUUUCUAUUUGCUGUUUUGCAGUCUAAAAUUUUCCUCGUUUGGAGGGAAGAUGUUUUAAUGGCAUGUUGAAGGCAGUCUAUACGGUGGUGUUAUUAAGUGGGAGAAAAAAAUCUUGGAGGUAUCAGAUUAGCACUGAACACAGGUCAUUCUGCUUUUAAGGGUCAUGUGCCUGGUGCUUUAUUUCUGAUUACUCCUAAAUAGUCUGUCUCUUUCAAAAGAAUGUGAGGUCAGUGUUGUAGAGCUAAAUACAGAUCACUUCAAUUUCCACAUAUAUAGUAGCCAUAAAUUUUUCUCAGCUCUUCUUUCUCUGAUACAGCCUGUGAUGUUUAUUGCAAAUGAGUGAUGUUCAGGAAAGGUAGCUGACUGGAAACCCAGAUCUUAGGCCCAGCUUUUUAUGUUCCUAAUGACUGGAAACUUAGAAUUUCUAAAGCUCUCAGGUUCUCAUUCCCCUUAUUUAGCAGGAUGGUAGCGAUGCAUGUGUAAAGAAUCCGAAAAAUUUGAAAUUGCACCCUGAAAUUAUUUUUAUUUAUUUAUUUAUUUAUUUAUUUAUUGCCUUUUGUCUUUUUAGGGCCACACCCACAGCAUAUGGAGGUUCCCAGGCUAGGGGUCUAAUUGGAGCUACAGCUGUCAGCCAACGCCAGAGCCACAGCGACAUUAGAUCCAAGCUGCAUCUGCGACCUACACCACAGCUCACGGCAACGCUGGAUCCUUAACCCACUGAGCGAGGCCAGGGAUUGAACCCACAACCUCAUGGUUCCUAGUCGGAUUUGUUUCUGCUCUGCCACAACGAGAACUCCAAAUUAUUUUUUUAAAUCCCAUGAAUGUGUUAACCCUUUAUGAUGAAAUUGCCCAGCCGACAUUCUUAUUAAUAUGAGUCAUCCAACUAUAUGAACUCUUUUAUUCAAACUAGAUAAUAUCUGAUACGUAAAAGCCAGCACAGGAAUAAUAAUAAAAAAGAAAUGCAUUUAGUGUUGGCAAUUACUUUAUGUAUGUAAUUUUUACUUAAACCUGAUAGCAGACCCAGCUGGAAGAUAUUAACAUUUCAUCUCUUAAUAGAAGGUAAAUCAAAGUUUUAAAAGAUGGCAUAAUUUAGCCUGAGACAUCCAAUUAGUAUGGGCAGAGCCAGGAUUAGAAUCCGGGCCCUAGCCCCUGAUGGUAACACUGCUCAGCCUUCUUAUUACUAAGUGGGUAAAACUCUGAAGGAAAGUUAUAUGCUUUGUAUUAUUCUUUAAGGAGUUGGAAUACUUUUUUUUCCAUGAAAUUCAGUUUUCCUCAAAACAUCUUACAAAUUUGCAUGCUGACCAUUCCUUAAAUUACAAAGAAUAAAUACAAGGUUAUGUCUUAUUUUUAUGACUGUUGGAGAGGGAAACAAUAAUUUCAAUUAAAUUGCACCAGCCAUAAUACCACCUAAUUAUGUUUAUAUGCUUUUUAAAUAUAACAGAAAUAACCAGAAAUGACUCUCUUCACCACAGAUAUUCACCAGCUCACUUGGCUGAUCCUUCAUAGUUUGAACAGGGUUUUCAUGUCAAUGAACCCAUUUAAUGUGCCCUGAGAUGUUGCAGAGCAAAGUGGGCCUCCCUUUCUCAUCUCAAAUGAGAAAGGCAAAGAAAAAAGAGUGAUCUAUUUCCUCAGUCUUUUGAGAGAAAGCUGAAAUGUAGAUUGUUCUUCAAUUCAAGUUCCGAUUGUUCUAAGCUUGGUUUAAAAUAAUUAUCCAUUCUUCUUCUUGCCUAUUUUUUUUUAAUUUUGAGACACCACAGCUUAUUUAUAACUCACUGACAUCCAAACCCACAAAGAAAACUGUGAUGCUGUUUUAGUGUGUGAACAAGCAGCUAUUUGUAAAGAGACUGAGAGAAGCAUUGCUAGUCCUCACGGCAGUGCCUGAAUAAUCCUGUUUUUCAUAAGUAUAUACAUUUCUUUAUCAGAUAAAAAUGAUGCAUUUGCUAGGGUAGAAAUUGUGCAGUGAGAAAUGUGCCAGGUUACCUUUACUCCCACCCAGCGAGUCACUUGGUCCCUCGUCCCCUGUGAAAGAUCUAAAAUUUAACUAAAAGAUCUCCAAGAGCCCGUCCAAUGCUUAAGUUCUUAAAUCUUUAGCUUUUUCAUCCUUUCAUGCUUUAGCAAAUAUUUACUGAGCCCCCGUUACGUACUUGCCAGCACCUGUCCUGGGCAUGCAUAAAUAAACAAAACAGGCAACUCCCUGCACUCAUACACUUUAUGUUCUAAUGGGGAAAGAGCCAUUAAACAAGAGGAAAUGCGAUGGGCGAGUAAGCUGGGUAGUCCUCUUGAAGACUGUGACACAUAAAGCAGUCUGAGAGGAAGGGUGGGGCUGUGUGUGGCCAGGGUGUGCUGCCUUAAGCUUUGAGUGACCACUUGAAGGAGGUGUGGUUGUGAGCCAUGCAGAUACAGGGGCCAGACCAGAGGAACACCUCAGAGAGAAAAGGCAGUGCAAAGACCCAAAUCGGGAGUGUUCCUGCUGUCUAGAGAGACUGGCAAGGGAUCCUUGUGGCUAGAGCUCGGGAAGGCAGAGAGUAAGAAGACACAGGGGGAAGAGGUAAGGGAGAGAGAUCUUAAAAGAGCUUUUAUUCCAUUGUAAGGACAUUUUUACUAAAUCUGUUAGGGGGCCCAGUUCUAGAACCCUGCUCUUACUGAGUUCUUAAGUGCCUCCUUUGAUAUAGCAUAAUGUACCUCGUGCUUUGAUAAUUCUUGCCUCUGAUCAGGCAAAGGUACUAGGUCUCUAAAGAGAGAGUUGGAGAAAGCAGUUCACACGGGUAGGGUUAGAGGGGCUGUGCCACCGGACCUUUUUAUUUUAUUUUAUUUUUUAAAUAAAGUAUAGUUGAUUUACAGGGUUUCUUCAAUUUCUGUUGCACAGCAAGUUGACCCAAUCACACACAGUUCCCUGUGCUGUACAGUAGGGCCCCAUUGCUGAUCCAUUCCAAAUGUAACAGUUUGCAUCCCCAAACACCAAACUCGCAGUCCAUCCCACUCCACCCCCACCCCCACCUUGGCAACCACAAGCCUAUUUUCCUUGGCCAUGAUCUGUUUCUGUUGUGUCGAUAGCAUCAUCUGUGCCGUAUUUUAGAUUCCACAAAUAAGAGAUAUCAUAUGGUAUUUGUCUUUCUCUUUCUGACUUACAUCUCUUAGUAUGAGAAUCUCUAAUUCCAUCUAUGUUGCUGCAAAUGGCAUUAGUUUGUCUUUUUUAUGGCUUGAGUAGUAUCCCAUUGGACAUAUAUGUACCACAUCGUUUUUACAGGUCCAAAAUUGGAAAUAGAAAGUGUCAUGGAAAGAUGGUAGGGGGAAAAGAGAGUGAGUGCCUGUGUUUAGAGGACCUGGUGACUAUUUGAAUAAUUGCUUUAAUUGGCAUUGCAAUGGAUGAGGCAAUUUUGUUUUUCCAACAAAAUAGGCAAUUGAGUGAAUCAAAGCAAAUGAGUCUGCUUUGCCCAAAAUUAGUAUAACUCGUCCAGCUUUCUGUUCAUUAGUAUUAGCAUGGUAUAUCUUUCUCCAUCCCUUUUUUCUAUUCUGUGUCUAUAUUUAACUUG
rnacentral:lncRNA from 1 species